rnacentral:tRNA from 1 species
AUUUAUAUAGUUUAAAAAAACAUUACAUUUUCAUUGUAAAAAUAAAAUAUAUAUAUAUUUUUAUAUAUU